rnacentral:rRNA from 1 species
AUUGAACGCUGGCGGCGUGCCUAACACAUGCAAGUCGAACGAAUGGCGGACGGGUGAGCAAGGUCUGGACACGUGCCUGAUGGAGGGGGCUAACUACGGGAAACGGUGGCUACUACUGCAUACGACCCUUUCUGCUCAGAUGGGAGUAGCGAGUUGGUGGGGUAACGGCUCACCAAGGCGAAGAUCCCUAGCUGGUCUGAGAGGCUGAUCAGCAACACGGGAACUGAGACACGGUCCAGACUCCUACGGGAGGAAGCAGUGGGGAAGAUGGCACAAGGGACGCAAGCCUGAUGCAGCAAUGCCGCGUGUAUGAAGAAGGCUUUCGGGUUGUAAAGUACGUUCAGCGGGGAGGCGUUACCCACAGAAGAAGCACCGGCUAACUCCGUGCCAGCAGCCGCGGUAAUAC